GACGAACGCUGGCGGCGCGCCUAACACAUGCAAGUCGAGCGAGAACCAGGACUUCGGUCCUGGGGGGAGCGGCGAACGGGUGCGUAACACGUGAGCAACCUGCCCCGAAGACCGGGACAAGCCGGGGAAACCUGGUCUAAUACCGGAUGCCCUCACCGGAUCGCAUGGUCUGGUGAGGAAAUGGAUUCCGCUUCGGGAUGGGCUCGCGGUCUAUCAGCUUGUUGGUGGGGUAACGGCCUACCAAGGCGACGACGGAUAGCUGGUCUGAGAGGGCGAUCAGCCACACUGGGACGGAGACACGGCCCAGACUCCUACGGGAGGUAGCAGUGGGGAAUCUUGCGCAAUGGGGGAAACCCUGACGCAGCGACGCCGCGUGCGGGAUGAAGGCCUUCGGGUUGUAAACCGCUUUCAGCAGGGACGAAAUUGACGGUACCUGCAGAAGAAGGCCCGGCCAACUACGUGCCAGCCGCCGCGGUAAUAC
rnacentral:rRNA from 1 species